rnacentral:rRNA from 1 species
GUGGGGAAUAUUGGACAAUGGGCGAAAGCCUGAUCCAGCCAUGCCGCGUGUGUGAAGAAGGUCUUCGGAUUGUAAAGCACUUUAAGUUGGGAGGAAGGGUAGUAACCUAAUACGUUGCUACUUUGACGUUACCGACAGAAUAAGCACCGGCUAACUUCGUGCCAGCAGCCGCGGUAAUACGAAGGGUACAAGCGUUAAUAGUAAUUACUGGGCGUAAAGCGCGCGUAGGUGGUUCAGUAAGUUGGAAGUGAAAUCCCCGGGCUCAACCUGGGAACUGCUUUCAAAACUGCUGAGCUAGAGUACGGUAGAGGGUGGUGGAAUUUCCUGUGUAGCGGUGAAAUGCGUAGAUAUAGGAAGGAACACCAGUGGCGAAGGCGACCACCUGGACUGAUACUGACACUGAGGUGCGAAAGCGUGGGGAGCAAACAGGAUUAGAUACCCCAGUAGUCC